UUUGAUAUCAUGCUUACACAUAAAAGCACGAGCAGGUCCUCUCCCGACACAUAAGUUGCUUAUACGGAAACAAUGUGGUGUAGAGAAAAGAAAGUGGAUCAAGCCCCUAAUAGACUUGAGUUUAAAUGUGGUACAGCCAAGUUGUGGCGCCCAACUUCCAUAUUCUGUAACGUUAAACACGUCAAUCUCAUCCUGUUUCCUUAUCUGCAAAAUAGUACCCACCCCAGAGGGUGAUACAAGCAUUAAAAUGCCCGGCACGGGCAAGGCAUCCAGCAAGUGUUAAUUCCCUUUCCUCUGCCCCGCAGAGGGGCAUUAUUAAUUGCUUAAAGUGGCCAACUCCCGAUAAAGAUUAAAACAGAAGGUUGGGGACGGUAAAUUUUGAAUGCCAACUUCCCAGGUGUUAAAGUGAGGCUACGGUUAUAAGGCGAAAAGGUGUCACAAUUAGAGAAACAACUUUGAACACGGUAAUACUGAUUUUUAAAAAUCUCGAAUGGGCUCUGUGGUUCUGAUACUCUGGCUGUUGAAAUAAUUCACCUACUGCAGAUUUAGUAGAAAGAAAAAUAAUUAGCAUGAUUAUACCUAGUAGCCAUUUCUACCCUCUUGAGAGUCUGGGCUUGGCUCCCCGCACGUCUGCUUUCCUCAGCCGCAGGGCUCCCGCGUUCUCAUGCCUGACACAGUCCGCGUUCGCAUGCCACGGUGGAGCAUCCCCUCAGCGUGCCCUACCGCUCCGGCGCCGGCUCGGCAGAUGUUCCGCCUGCGCAGAGCUGAGCAUAGGCGCCGUGUGAGCGCCGAUUCACCCAGGCCCGAGCGCGAGGCCCAA
rnacentral:lncRNA from 1 species